AUAAUGAUACUUGCGCAUAGUCGAGGUUAAGUCCCAGAGUGUGCCCUGGCCGUUGGCGAGGAGAUGUAAUUUCUAUGA
rfam:Clostridia bacterium BRH_c25 BRHa_1006890, whole genome shotgun sequence.